AGGAUGAACGCUAGCGGCAGGCCUAACACAUGCAAGUCGUACGGUAACAGGGAAAAGCUUGCUUUUCCGCUGACGAGUGGCGCACGGGUGCGCAACGCGUAUAGAACCUACCCUGUACAGGGGGAUAGCCCAUGGAAACGUGGAUUAAUACCCCGUGGAGACUUAAGGUGGCAUCUACUUUUAGUUUAAAGUUUCGGCGGUACAGGAUGGCUAUGCGUCCCAUUAGUUAGUAGGUGAGGUAACGGCUCACCUAGGCUAUGAUGGGUAGGGGCCCUGAGAGGGGGACUCCCCACACUGGUACUGAGACACGGACCAGACU
rnacentral:rRNA from 1 species